AUUGAACGCUGGCGGCAGGCCUAACACAUGCAAGUCGAGCGGAGCGGCGGUCGGGUGAGUAAUGACUGGGAAUCUGCAUGGUAGUGGGGGAUAACGUCCGGAAACGGGCGCUAAUACCGCAUACUCUCAGAUGAGCCUAGGUCGGUUUAGCUAGUUGGUGGGGUAAAGGCCUACCAAGGCGACGAUCCGUGACUGGGCUGAGAGGAUGAUCAGUCCAACUGGAACGGAGACACGGGCCAGACUCCUACGUGAGGCAGCAGGGGGGAGUAUUGGACAAUGGGCGAAAGCCUGAUCCAGCCAUGCCGCGUGUGUGAAGAGGGGCUUCGGAUUGUAAAGCACUUUAAGUUGGGAGGCGUUACCAACAGAUUAAGCACCGGCUAACUUCGUGCCAGCAGCCGCGGUAAUAC
rnacentral:rRNA from 1 species